GGGGGUGAACGGUUUCGACUCUGGACGUUUAGGCAGGGGAAGCGUGCCGGUGCAGGCAGAUGACCACCGCAAGCGUCGCUGCAAAAAAAUCAAGCGCCGACAACAAUCAGCGCGCUUUCGCUCUCGCCGCCUGACGGUAAGAGUGAAGCUGUCGGCCCGGGUGCGUCUCCGACCCGGUGUCCGGCAUCAGCUAGGAGACUUACCUGCGUUCUCGGUCACGGGGAGCAACGGGGAAACUCACAGUGACUGGGCCCGUCAUGUUGAACUUGUCUGUGUGAUCAACAGGGCCGAGUAGAGACAGAGCAGACUGCGCACGGAGAAGUCCUGUCGAAGCGGCAGAGGACCCGGGUUCGAUUCCCGGCACCUCCACCG
rnacentral:tmRNA from 1 species